rnacentral:misc_RNA from 1 species
AACGCACAUUGCGCCCUUUGGUAUUCCGAAGGGCAUGCCUGUUCGAGCGUCAUUAUCACCCCUCAAGCCCUGUGCUUGAUGUUGGAGGGCUUUGGUCUCUCGGCCAACCCCUCCCAAAGACAAUGACGGCGGCCUGUGGGACCCCCGGUACACUGAGCUUUUAACUGAGCACGUAUCGGAUGAGGGUGCCCAGGACACGGUCUUUAUUUUACCACUAAGGUUGACCUCGGAUCAGGUAGGAAUACGCGCUGAACUUAA